rnacentral:rRNA from 1 species
AGAGUUUGAUCAUGGCUCAGGAUGAACGCUAGCUACAGGCUUAACACAUGCAAGUCGAGGGGAAACGACAUCGAAAGCUUGCUUUUGAUGGGCGUCGACCGGCGCACGGGUGAGUAACGCGUAUCCAACCUGCCCAUCACUUGGGGAUAACCUUGCGAAAGUAAGACUAAUACCCAAUGACGUCUCUAGAAGACAUCUGAAAAGAGAUUAAAGAUUUAUCGGUGAUGGAUGGGGAUGCGUCUGAUUAGCUUGUUGGCGGGGUAACGGCCACCAAGGCGACGAUCAGUAGGGGUUCUGAGGAGGAAGGUCCCCCANAUUCGGAACUGAGACACGGUCCAAACUCCUACGGGAGCA